UACGUAGGGGGCAAGCGUCGUCCGGAUUUAUUGGGCGUAAAGAGCGUGUAGGCGGCCAGGUAGGUCCGUUGUGAAAACUCGAGGCUCAACCUCGAGACGCCGAUGGAAACCAUCUGGCUAGAGUCCGGAAGAGGAGAGUGGAAUUCCCGGUGUAGCGGUGAAAUGCGCAGAUAUCAGGAGGAACACCGAUGGCGAAGGCAGGUCACUGGGCCGCAACUGACGCUGAGGAGCGAAAGCAUGGGGAGCGAACAGG
rnacentral:rRNA from 1 species